UUCGGCCUUAGUGGCGCACGGGUGAGUAACGCGUGGGAACCGGCCCUUGAGUGGGGGAUAACCUCGGGAAACUGAGGCUAAUACCGCAUAUGCCCUGAGGGGCAAAGACGCAAGUCGCUUGAGGAAGGGCCCGCGCCCGAUUAGGUAGUUGGUGUGGUAAAGGCGCACCAAGCCGACGAUCGGUAGCUGGUCUGAGAGGAUGAUCAGCCACACUGGGACUGAGGCACGGCCCAGACUCCUACGGGAGGCAGCAGUGGGGAAUAUUGGACAAUGGGCGCAAGCCUGAUCCAGCCAUGCCGCGUGAGUGAAGAAGGCCUUCGGGUUGUAAAGCUCUUUCAGCGAGGACGAUGAUGACGGUACCCGCAGAAGAAGCCCCGGCUAACUUCGUGCCAGCAGCCGCGGUAAUACGAAGGGGGCUAGCGUUGU
rnacentral:rRNA from 1 species